rnacentral:rRNA from 1 species
UAAUACGGAGGGUGCAAGCGUUAAUCGGAAUUACUGGGCGUAAAGCGCACGCAGGCGGUUUGUUAAGUCAGAUGUGAAAUCCCCGGGCUCAACCUGGGAACUGCAUUUGAAACUGGCAAGCUAGAGUCUCGUAGAGGGGGGGUAGAAUUCCAGGUGUAGCGGUGAAAUGCGUAGAGAUCUGGAGGAAUACCGGUGGCGAAGGCGGCCCCCUGGACGAAGACUGACGCUCAGGUGCGAAAGCGUGGGGAGCAAACAGGGAUUAGAUACCCUGGUAGUCCACGCUGUAAACGAUGUCGAUUUGGAGGUUGUGCCCUUGAGGCGUGGCUUCCGGAGCUAACGCGUUAAAUCGACCGCCUGGGGAGUACGGCCGCAAGGUUA